GACAUUAAAGUUUUAUUAGAUUUUUCCUUUGGUAAUUUUGGUUUCGAUUUGAAAAUGCUUAAGAUGCUUAGAAAAUUAUCGAAUCGUACUCUGCAGCAGAAAAUAGUAAAAGUAACUUAAACUUGCAAGUCUUGUGUGUUAUCAGUGGCACCAAAUGUAUCCAUGAAACUGCUCUGCUCAGGAUGAUGGACAAAAGAACUCAUCUUCACCAUCAGCACUAGACUCUUCCCCAGCCUCCACUGAGCAUACCUGUUGGCAAUCCUCCUGAUUUCUACAGCAAAUGAAUUUUUAACAAUAUCCCAUAAGAUUUGCAAUAGAAUAUACAAGUAGCAACAAUUUUCAACAAAGCCUUUGUAGAUAAGAGUGAGUCUCUUUCUGGGUUAAUGGUAAGAGUCCUAUGAAAGGAAAUUUGCCAUGGACUUCCCGAAAAUGAGACUGCUCUUUUCCACGAAGAGAGACUAAUAAUGGCCUUUGAAACAUUAACUAUUUACUUAAAUUUAGAGAAAUUGGCGUUACCAAAAACUUUCAGCAAAUAAAAUUGAAUCUACUUCAGAGAACAGUGAUACUGGAUGAAAACCAUAGUUUACAUUCCAUCUUCAAAGUGAGAUAAUGCAGGAAUGCCAAAAAUUCAGCAGAGCCUUCUCAAGUAACAAUUUUGUCCUUAGGAAACCAUUGGGAUUUUGAGCUGUGGAAUUUUCCACCCAUUUAUCCUCUCAUUAUCUAUCUUUUUUGCUUCAAAUGUCAAUUGACUCCUCUCACUCACAGUUGCACAAAUUACAGGGCUUUUUUUUUUAAUUGUCAUAAAACAGAUACAUUAUUCAUCUAUUCAGUUUCAUCUGAAGGGAAUCCAACAAAGAAGAAAUUUUAUUUUCCAAUAAAAUAUUAAAGCUGCUUUACCCCACAAGAGACAGAGCAGAAAUUCCAUCCAUGAUCUAUUUCAUUAUGAACAAACUAUCAACAAAAACCAUCCUGUUCAGCCAGUUUCUCAGAGCAACCGUGGGAUUCAAAGCAGGAAGACAUCAGAGGAGAAUGAAAGAAGUAAGAGAGGUUUAUGAGAACCAAAAAUGGAAAAUCAUUUCUUUCACAGCAGUGCUCAGACAAGAACUCUACCCACUGAAGUCAACUGGGUAAUUUACAUUUACCUAUACAGUAGUAUGUCUACCCAGCCUUGCUCUGGAUAAAAUGUGUCAACUCUCCCAAACUAAUGUAUGGCCUGUUGCAUAAUUACCCCUCAUUACGUAAUUGAUCCUACCUCCUGCAAUUCCUUUCCCAGUAACCACUAUUCAUUGGUCCCAGCCUGGAAGAUCAGAUAUUCAAAUUUACCAGCUCAGGCUCCAUGUUCCUACCCGAACUCUUGACCUGGUUACAGGAAGGAAAAAUAGUGACACUUUUCACUGCCUAAAUGUUUUAGUCUCAUUUCUUUAUGAUUUGAGAAUCCACUGAAAUUCAUUAUCUUGGUUAAGCAAAAAAAAAAAAAAAAA